CCUACGGGUGGCAGCAGUGAGGAAUAUUGGUCAAUGGUCGGGAGUCUGAACCAGCCAAGCCGCGUGAGGGAGGACGGUACAGAGUAUCGUAAACCUCUUUUGUACGGGAACAAAGACUGAGACGCGUCUCCGGAUGAGAGUACCUGACGAAAAAGCAUCGGCUAACUCCGUGCCAGCAGCCGCGGUAAUACGGAGGAUUCGAGCGUUAUCCGGAUUUAUUGGGUUUAAAGGGUGCGGAGGCGGUCUGUUAAGUUAGCGGGUAAAGCCCGGGGCUCAACCCCGGACUCGCCUUUGAUACUGGCAGUCUAGAGUGGGGGAGAGGUAGGCGGAAUGCGCGGUGUAGCGGUGAAAUGCAUAGAGAGCGCGCAGAACUCCGAUUGCGAAGGCAGCAUGCCGGCUCCACACUGACGCUGAGGCACGAAAGCGUGGGUAGCGAACAGGAUUAGAUACCCUGGUAGUC
rnacentral:rRNA from 1 species